GAUGAACGCUGGCGGCGUGCUUAACACAUGCAAGUCGAACGAAGCACUUUAACCUGAUUCUUCGGAUGCAGGUUUUUGUGACUGAGUGGCGGACGGGUGAGUAACGCGUGGGUAACCUGCCUCAUACAGGGGGAUAACAGUUAGAAAUGACUGCUAAUACCGCAUAAGACCACAGAGCCGCAUGGCUCGGUGGGAAAAACUCCGGUGGUAUGAGAUGGACCCGCGUCUGAUUAGGUAGUUGGUGGGGUAACGGCCUACCAAGCCAACGAUCAGUAGCCGACCUGAGAGGGUGACCGGCCACAUUGGGACUGAGACACGGCCCGAACUCCUACGGGAGGCAGCAGUGGGGAAUAUUGCACAAUGGGGGAAACCCUGAUGCAGCGACGCCGCGUGAGCGAAGAAGUAUUUCGGUAUGUAAAGCUCUAUCAGCAGUGAAGAAAAUGACGGUACCUGACUAAGAAGCACCGGCUAAAUACGUG
rnacentral:rRNA from 1 species